rnacentral:rRNA from 1 species
UACGUAGGGUGCAAGCGUUGUCCGGAAUUAUUGGGCGUAAAGAGCUCGUAGGCGGUUUGUUGCGUCGGCUGUGAAAUCCCGAGGCUCAACCUCGGGUCUGCAGUCGAUACGAGCAAACUAGAGUGUUGCAGGGAGACUGGAAUUCCUGGUGUAGCGGUGAAAUGCGCAGAUAUCAGGAGGAACACCGGUGGCGAAGGCGGGUCUCUGGGCCGAUACUGACGCUGAGGAGCGAAAGCGUGGGGAGCGAACAGG